rnacentral:rRNA from 1 species
UACGGAGGGUGCAAGCGUUAUCCGGAUUCACUGGGUUUAAAGGGUGCGUAGGCGGCUCAUUAAGUCAAUGGUGAAAGCUCGCAGCUUAACUGUGAAACUGCCAUUGAUACUGAUUAGCUUGAGUACGAUUGAUGUGGGCGGAAUACAUCAUGUAGCGGUGAAAUGCUUAGAUAUGAUGUAGAACACCGAUUGCGAAGGCAGCUCACAAAAUCGCAACUGACGCUGAGGCACGAAAGCGUGGGGAGCAAACAGG